AGUGAACGCUGGCGGCAGGCCUAACACAUGCAAGUCGAGCGGCAGCGGGUCCUUCGGGAUGCCGGCGAGCGGCGGACGGGUGAGGAAUACAUCGGAAUCUGCCCUGUCGUGGGGGAUAACCUAGGGAAACUUAGGCUAAUACCGCAUACGACCUACGGGUGAAAGCGGGGGAUCGCAAGACCUCGCGCGACAGGAUGAGCCGAUAUCCGAUUAGCUAGUUGGCGGGGUAAAGGCCCACCAAGGCGACGAUCGGUAGCUGGUCUGAGAGGAUGAUCAGCCACACUGGGACUGAGACACGGCCCAGACUCCUACGGGAGGCAGCAGUGGGGAAUAUUGGACAAUGGGCGCAAGCCUGAUCCAGCCAUGCCGCGUGGGUGAAGAAGGCCUUCGGGUUGUAAAGCCCUUUUGUCCGGGAAGAAAUCGUCUGGGCUAAUACCCCGGGCGGAUGACGGUACCGGAAGAAUAAGCACCGGCUAACUUCGU
rnacentral:rRNA from 1 species